rnacentral:rRNA from 1 species
UACAUGGGGUGCAAACGUUGCUCGGAAUUAUUGGGCGUAAAGCGCACGUAGGUGGUCUGUUAUGUCAGAUGUGAAAGCCCUCGGCUUAACUGAGGAAGUGCACCUGAAACUGGCAGGCUUGAGUACGAAAGAGGGUCGCGGAAUUCCCGGUGUAGAGGUGAAAUUCGUAGAUAUUGGGAAGAACACCGGUGGCGAAGGCGGCGACCUGGUCCAUUACUGACGCUGAGGCGCGACAGCGUGGGGAGCAAACAGG